rnacentral:rRNA from 1 species
AUUGAACGCUGGCGGCAUGCUUUACACAUGCAAGUCGAACGGUAACAGGCCUUCGGGCGCUGACGAGUGGCGAACGGGUGAGUAAUGCAUCGGAACGUGCCCAGUCGUGGGGGAUAACGCAGCGAAAGCUGUGCUAAUACCGCAUACGAUCUGUGGAUGAAAGCGGGGGACCUUCGGGCCUCGCGCGAUUGGAGCGGCCGAUGUCAGAUUAGGUAGUUGGUGGGGUAAAGGCUCGCCAAGCCAACGAUCUGUAGCUGGUCUGAGAGGACGCCCAGCCACACGGGGACUGGGGCACGGGCCAGACUCCUACGGGAGGCAGCAGUGGGGAAUUUUGGACAAUGGGCGCAAGCCUGAUCCAGCAAUGCCGCGUGCAGGAAGAAGGCCUUCGGGUUGUAAACUGCUUUUGUACGGAACGAAACGGUCCUGGUUAAUACCUGGGGCUAAUGACGGUACCGUAAGAAUAAGCACCGGCUAACUACGUGCCAGCCGCCGCUGUAAUA